GCUUUCGCUUAAUGAUCCAUCUAUGCGGUCUGAACGAUAUUCUUAUCAUACCCAAGGGUCCGUGGAUUCAUCCACUAGAUCAUCGUAGGCUAACCCAUGAAAUCUUUCUUCCGUCGGCCUUAGGUUUGCUCGCGGGUCCAACAUCCGUUUUGUCCAUCGGUUUCCACCGUGGACUUUCCAGUUGGUUAUCCGUCGAGUCACCCUUUGGUCUUACCGAUCUCUGAUCGGUUUCACCAUGGCUGAGGAGAUAGAUACAUGAAGGCGGCCGCGAUGUUGAUUCUAUAUGGUGAAUCACGUUCGUUACCCAUUCCUUGGUGCUUUCUCCCUUUACCGGUAAGAUUGCAGCCAUGGGUGACCCUUGGGUGUGUUCGGAUGCACUUAUCCUUGUGCUUCCUCGAACACUUUUCUCGAUCCAUCCUAUUCGACGAUCGGUCUGUCCGACCCGUUCCGUCAGACGAUCGACCUAUCCCAUCCGACCCGUCCGACGAUCGGUCUGUCCGAUCCGAUCCGUCUGGCUGAUCCGAUCCGUCCGACGAUCGGUCAGGCCGAUCCAAUCCGACGAUCGGUCUACCAGAUCCGAUUCGUCUCUAAGACGAACGGUCUACCCUCUCUAUCCUCUACACUCCAUCGAACCGUUGGACCGGGAGGUAGCAUGCGCAUUAGUUCGGUCGAGUUAUACUCGCCGAGCCGCACCCCCUUUCCGACCAACAACUUCGGGAUGUGUUGGGACUCUUUUAAGACUAUUUUGUGGUGUUUGGAUGUUGUGUGAUGAUCCCAAAGGCCUUGGGCGUCCUCCCUUAUAUAGGGGGCGAAUGGAUGCUUCCCGAAGCAUCACAUCCGGUCCUUGCACUCUUCCGAAAGGUCACAUCCGUUCCUUGCAUCCUUCCGAAAGGUCACAUCUGUUCCUUGCAUCCUUUGGGCGAUGCAACCGUUCUUUGGUAUCCGCUCGACCUUACACCUUUUGGCUGAGACACCUCUUCACCUGUGAGCUACCACAAUCCACCAGCUCGAGUGUCAGCUGACAGGACCACUCAGCUGGGUCAGUACUCGAUCAGCUCACCGAGCUCAGUCGAGCUGUCGGUCAGCUCACCUAGCUGAGCUAGCUAGUCUUCCAGCUGGUUUAGCUCACAUAGCUUAGCUAGCUAGUUCAUCCAGCUUGUCCAGCUCACCUAGCUGGUUUAGCUUGAACUUUCUCGUUCUUACUACUUAGUAUUUUGGUCCGUUCCUCGACCAUGAUCUAGUUUUCUCCUAAAACAAACCGGCCUCUUUAUGAACGCGGGACGCGGUCGUUACAAGUCUACCCCCCUUAAACUGAAUUUGUCCUCGAAUUCGGCGGGUGAGAGAUCUUGUUUACUCCCUAACUUGGGACACGGGCGUUACAAUUCUUCUCCCAGAUGUGUGCUUUGUUGCCCAAGGAGAAAGGAAACAAACAGAGCUUGAAUCCGUCUUCACUGACACCAUUGAUCUUCUUUAGGUUGUAGUGCCUAUCGAAUUCAUCAAGGUGGUCGAGUGGAUCCUCCAUUGGCAGACCAUGGAAUUUGUUCCCCUGAAUCAUCGAGAUGAGACCACUCUUAAUCUCGAAGUUGUUGUUCUGGAUAGCAGGAGGUUCAAUUCCCUUGCUCUGACGGUGAUCACGUGGUGCAUCUCCAACACCAAUGUUGGCAGGGCCAUUUUGUUGAUUUUGUUCUUCAGCCAUUUGGAGUGGUUGCUGAGGUACAGGGUUGACUGUGGUUCUCCUUUUUCUGAGUUCGCGAGCUGUGCGGUUGAUGUUGUUGUUGAAAAGGAGGUUCUGGUUGCCUGUUGAUCGAGUUCGCAUAGAGCAGAGGUGUACCUGGAUCAAGAAGACAACAAGAAAAACACACAGUUAGUAACUGAAAAGAAAAUUGAAAAAGAAAUUGAUCUAAGCAAGUCUGAAAUCUCAAAUGUAACAAACAAACACCCAAUUGGCAACGACGCCAAAUUGAUAAUAGGUUUUAAGAUCAAUUAAUCCUAAAGCACUAUCAUGUCAUUGUAGUACUGAAGGUUGUCAAUCCAAAUGGGUGUGAUGCUAACAAUCAAGAUGUGAUCAGAAGUCACUAAGUCAAGCCAAGCAAUAACAGGUUUUGGUGCGUUCUAGCAGUCCUAAGUGAACAUGCAGAAAACAGAAAAUCGAAGCAGAAACAAAUAAACACUCGACCAACACAGCUCGUUGUAGAGCACUGGGUGUGGUCGAGUGACAGGUCGAGUAACAGACAGAUAUUGUAACAGGGAUACUCGACUGCACAGUCUGUUGCCAGACAACUGGGUGGUCGAGUAUCAGGUCGAGUAACAGUAAAGAAUUGCAGAAACUAAGCAACAGAUGACAGGAUGCAGUACACAGCAGUAGAGUAAACAAUAAAAUCAAUCAGAUAAAGAAUUCCUAAGGAUGGGGUAAUUGAGUAGUUUCGUUUCCUCAGUUUACAGGUGAUUGACAUGCUCAAUAAAUUAACCCUAGACAACAAGUUCAUUAACCAAAUCUAAGUGCCACCGCAACAGAGACUCUCAAGCUAACCUAGUCCAAGACUCAAUCACCAUUGACGAGAGCUAACCUAACAGGCAUUACGAAUCAACAAGUUAAAGCCAAAACGCUCCCUGCAACCAAUACCUUGGUACAGGGUCACGAAUCUCUGGAAUUAGUGGUUCAGACAUUUCAUCGAACACCUUUUGGGCGCAGAAAUGUCUGGGCUCAAAUUCUAGUUGAUCAGAAAGCAAUAGGCAUUAAGAAAAACUAAUCCAGAAGGGAUCUAUCAACCAAUACUCAAUCACCUAGUAUACUGAGAAUUCUACACUACUCUAACCCAUCCUUAGAAACAUAUUCACUACUCAGACAUCAUAACAGAAAGCAUAAACGUUGAACAAAUUGAAAACAUGAUAACAACAAUGUAACAACAGGAUGAUAACAGAAUGAACAACAGUAAACGAAAUCAAGAACAGAAACUGAAUACUGAAUACUGAAUAGAUAAAGAGAAAUCCGGAUUACAAAAAGUCUAGAACACAAGGUCUGCGGAAAUAAAACUAGAUAAAAACUUCUUGUCUGCGAAAAUGUGAAGUACAUUGCUACUUAUAGCCAAAUAUCCCAAAACCCUAAUACUCAAAACGACGAAGUAUUGGGACGGGUUAAAAACUGUACUCGACCCACGUGGUCGAGUGAAUAGCUGGAGUCUUCUUUUCUUCCUUCUGCUCGAGUGUCUGGUUGAGUGCGGAAUGAAGAAGGCUCUGAAGCUUGUCAUCGAGUAUGCAGCCGAGUGGUGGUGAUGGGGAUACUCGACAUCCAGGUAGAGUGAUGAGGUCGAGUAGAGGUCUGGCAAUGGGAUGAAGUCACUCGGCCUGGGGUCGAGUGAUGUGAUCGAGUGGUGUCAGAAGAUACUCGACUUCCAGGUUGAGUGACGAGGUCGAGUGGUGGUCUGAUGAUGGAGGUGAAGACACUCGACCUCAUGGUCGAGUGAUGUGAUCGAGUGAUGGUUUGGUGAUGGAGAUGAGGGCACUUGACCUCGUGGUCAAGUGGUGAAGUGAAGUGGUGAUGUCCUCUGCUCGACCUGGGGGUCGAGUGGUCUCUUGAGAUCUUGAAGCUCCUACUCGACCUCUUGGUCGAGUGGUUUGUCAUGAUCAGGUCCGCUUCUUCCAUAUAGCUCGUCAACAGCUCCAAAUCACCUGAAAUCAACGCAAAUAUGCAACAUGCAUGCAAAACUAUACUAAACAUGCAAAGUGAUGCAAAUGAUGUGAAAUGGUAUAAAACGGUGAUGAUAUGAUGCUAAAAUGAUGACAAAUAGAUGCUCAAAACAUGCAAAAUACACACUUAUCAGUGGUCGUGCGGGAUGUUUUUCUUUUGGGAGCCUUGACCACAAGGUAGCGAUUGCACGCAACAAGCUGAGAGGAGAGAGUGCUACCACUGCAAGGACAGGGGACCUCUCAGGCUGAAUUGUCCUAAGUUGCAGCGGAUGGCAGUGGCAGUAGUACAGCCGGUGGCAAGGAGCUCAGGUGCAGCAGGGAGCGCAGGUGCAGUAGGGAAUGCCGAAAAUGUGCAGUAGUUAGCACAUAUUGCAGCGGCACCGCAGGGCUACACUAGGCGUGAGACAGGCGGUACCAGCAAUAGAUCGAUCACUAGUAUGAUUUUUGAGACUCUACUUUGUGAAUUAU
rnacentral:sRNA from 1 species